rnacentral:rRNA from 1 species
UUAAGCGACUAAGCGUACACGGUGGAUGCCUAGGCAGUCAGAGGCGAUGAAGGGCGUGCUAAUCUGCGAAAAGCGUCGGUAAGCUGAUAUGAAGCGUUACAACCGACGAUACCCGAAUGGGGAAACCCAGUGCAAUUCGUUGCACUAUUGCAUGGUGAAUACAUAGCCAUGCAAGGCGAACCGGGGGAACUGAAACAUCUAAGUACCCCGAGGAAAAGAAAUCAACCGAGAUUCCCCCAGUAGCGGCGAGCGAACGGGGAGGAGCCCAGAGUCUGAAUCAGUUUGUGUGUUAGUGGAAGCGUCUGGAAAGUCGCACGGUACAGGGUGAUAGUCCCGUACACAAAAAUACACUUGCUGUGAACUCGAUGAGUAGGGCGGGACACGUGACAUCCUGUCUGAAUAUGGGGGGACCAUCCUCCAAGGCUAAAUACUCCUGACUGACCGAUAGUGAACCAGUACCGUGAGGGAAAGGCGAAAAGAACCCCGGCGAGGGGAGUGAAAUAGAACCUGAAACCGUGUACGUACAAGCAGUGGGAGCACCUUCGUGGUGUGACUGCGUACCUUUUGUAUAAUGGGUCAGCGACUUAUAUUUUGUAGCAAGGUUAACCGAAUAGGGGAGCCGUAGGGAAACCGAGUCUUAACUGGGCGUCUAGUUGCAAGGUAUAGACCCGAAACCCGGUGAUCUAGCCAUGGGCAGGUUGAAGGUUGGGUAACACUAACUGGAGGACCGAACCGACUAAUGUUGAAAAAUUAGCGGAUGACUUGUGGCUGGGGGUGAAAGGCCAAUCAAACCGGGAGAUAGCUGGUUCUCCCCGAAAGCUAUUUAGGUAGCGCCUCGUGAACUCAUCUUCGGGGGUAGAGCACUGUUUCGGCUAGGGGGUCAUCCCGACUUACCAAACCGAUGCAAACUCCGAAUACCGAAGAAUGUUAUCACGGGAGACACACGGCGGGUGCUAACGUCCGUCGUGAAGAGGGAAACAACCCAGACCGCCAGCUAAGGUCCCAAAGUCAUGGUUAAGUGGGAAACGAUGUGGGAAGGCACAGACAGCCAGGAUGUUGGCUUAGAAGCAGCCAUCAUUUAAAGAAAGCGUAAUAGCUCACUGGUCGAGUCGGCCUGCGCGGAAGAUGUAACGGGGCUAAACCAUGCACCGAAGCUGCGGCAGCGACACUUAGGUGUUGUUGGGUAGGGGAGCGUUCUGUAAGCCGUUGAAGGUGGACUGUGAGGUCUGCUGGAGGUAUCAGAAGUGCGAAUGCUGACAUAAGUAACGAUAAUGCGGGUGAAAAGCCCGCACGCCGGAAGACCAAGGGUUCCUGUCCAACGUUAAUCGGGGCAGGGUGAGUCGACCCCUAAGGCGAGGCUGAAAAGCGUAGUCGAUGGGAAACAGGUUAAUAUUCCUGUACUCGGUGUUACUGCGAAGGGGGGACGGAGAAGGCUAGGCUAGCCGGGCGACGGUUGUCCCGGUUUAAGCAUGUAGGCGGAGUGACCUGGUAAAUCCGGUUGCUUAUCAACGCUGAGGUGUGAUGACGAUGCACUACGGUGCAGAAGUAGUUGAUGCCAAGCUUCCAGGAAAAGCCUCUAAGCAUCAGGUAACAGUGAAUCGUACCCCAAACCGACACAGGUGGUCAGGUAGAGAAUACUCAGGCGCUUGAGAGAACUCGGGUGAAGGAACUAGGCAAAAUGGUGCCGUAACUUCGGGAGAAGGCACGCUGGCAUUAGGUAAAGAGACUUGCUCUCGGCGCCGAAGCCAGUCGCAGAUACCAGCUGGCUGCAACUGUUUAAUAAAAACACAGCACUGUGCAAACACGAAAGUGGACGUAUACGGUGUGACGCCUGCCCGGUGCUGGAAGGUUAAUUGAUGGGGUCAGCCGCAAGGCGAAGCUCUUGAUCGAAGCCCCAGUAAACGGCGGCCGUAACUAUAACGGUCCUAAGGUAGCGAAAUUCCUUGUCGGGUAAGUUCCGACCUGCACGAAUGGCGUAAUGAUGGCCAGGCUGUCUCCACCCGAGACUCAGUGAAAUUGAACUCGCUGUGAAGAUGCAGUGUACCCGCGGCAAGACGGAAAGACCCCGUGAACCUUUACUAUAGCUUGACACUGAACAUUGAGCCUUGAUGUGUAGGAUAGGUGGGAGGCAUCGAAGCGUGGACGCCAGUCUGCGUGGAGCCAACCUUGAAAUACCACCCUUUAAUGUUUGAUGUUCUAACUCGGCCCCGUAAUCCGGGGUGAGGACAGUGUCUGGUGGGUAGUUUGACUGGGGCGGUCUCCUCCCAAAGAGUAACGGAGGAGCACGAAGGUUAGCUAAUCACGGUCGGACAUCGUGAGGUUAGUGCAAAGGCAUAAGCUAGCUUGACUGCGAGAGUGACGGCUCGAGCAGGUACGAAAGUAGGUCUUAGUGAUCCGGUGGUUCUGAAUGGAAGGGCCAUCGCUCAACGGAUAAAAGGUACUCCGGGGAUAACAGGCUGAUACCGCCCAAGAGUUCAUAUCGACGGCGGUGUUUGGCACCUCGAUGUCGGCUCAUCACAUCCUGGGGCUGAAGUAGGUCCCAAGGGUAUGGCUGUUCGCCAUUUAAAGUGGUACGCGAGCUGGGUUUAGAACGUCGUGAGACAGUUCGGUCCCUAUCUGCCGUGGGCGUUGGAAGAUUGAGAGGGGCUGCUCCUAGUACGAGAGGACCGGAGUGGACGAAUCACUGGUGUUCGGGUUGUCAUGCCAAUGGCAUUGCCCGGUAGCUAAAUUCGGAAGAGAUAACCGCUGAAAGCAUCUAAGCGGGAAACUUGCCUCGAGAUGAGUCUUCCCUGGGGCUUUAAGCCCCCUGAAGGAACGUUAAAGACUAUGACGUUGAUAGGCUGGGUGUGUAAGUGCAGCGAUGCAUUGAGCUAACCAGUACUAAUGAUCCGUGAGGCUUAACCUU